AACGAACGCUGGCGGCAUGCCUAACACAUGCAAGUCGAACGAGACCGUCCGGUCUAGUUGCGCUCGGGUGGGUACCGCGUGGGAACCUGCACUUAGGUUCGGAAUCACUCCCCGUGAGAUAUGCUAAUACCGGUUAAGCUCUUCGCACCUAGGAUCUCUCGCCUUUGGAUGGGCGCGCGUUGGAUUCGGUAGUUGGUAGUGUAAAAGCCUGCCAACGCGACGUUGCAGAGCUGGUCGGAUAGGAUGCUCAGCCACACUGGGAGUGAGACACGGCCCAGACUCCUACGGGAGGCAGCAGUGGAGAAUAUUGGACAAGGGGCGCAAGCCUGAUCCAGCAAUGCCGCGUGAGUGAUGAAGGGCUUAGGAUUGUAAAGCUCUUUUACACGGGAUGAUAAUGACAGUACCGGGAGAAUAAGCACCGGCUAACUCCGUG
rnacentral:rRNA from 1 species